UGAUUAUGUGGAGCGUGAGGAGCUAAACACCUUCAUGCCUGCGUAUUCGUGCACUUUGGGUGUACUUGCCCGCAUGGUUGGUUAACAUCAAUUUCGGAAGCCAUAAAAUGGUUGGAGGAAUGUGGCUUCGACCUCGGUUGAAGUGUUAUAGCCUUCAGCAGAUGUGGUGAUCGAGAUUGAGGAUUGCAACGGAUACCCUUCGGGGCUACCUGUCUGAUCUCUGAUCGUUACUCUGGUGUCGAAAGCGUGCUUACGGUCAUCAGAGUUGAUGGUCAACAGGUUAGAAUGGGUUAAAUUCGUUAAGGAUGUUGACGUA
rnacentral:rRNA from 1 species